UCAAGAAUUAGUCCAAGGUGGCGGACAGCUCGUUAUUCGGUCUAAAUGUUUCGAGAACUAAUCAAGAUAUGACAAAUCGGUAAUAGAGUUUAAUAUUAUAUAAUUUUAAGAGUUCUUUUCAAUGAGACAAACUAAUUUUUUUAUUGCCAAUGUCCUUUAAGUCUUCGCGAACAUAUUUCGUACACUUAAAUUGGAUCGAUAGCUGAAUGGAUAGAGCGGCGGUCUAAAACAGGUAUAUACUCUCACUUUUUAGAUAUUGGUGCCGAUAUACUGGAUUUGGCUGGAGCAACUAUUGAAGGGGAAAACAUAAGAGAAGAAGCAGUAAGAGAGUUAUAAUUUUAAAAAUGAGUAUGUGCAACCUUAGAAAACAGCCAGAAACUGCAGACAAUCGGGAGUGUUACAAUGAGAAUACAAGAAACAAACUAUUCAUUACCAUUAUAUUCCACGCUUCCAUGCUUAGUCCCAUGUAAUAAUCUCAUGGUCCGGGAUCCACCAAUUUCAUCAUAAUGCCCUACAAACGAAAAGAGGCUAUUUGGUAUAUACUGUAGGUACAGUACAUUUAAUAUCAAGAAUUUCGGGCAUCUCUUUCGAUAGAAACACAGUAACUGUAGAAGGAACACAUGUACAUGUACAAACCUCUCAAAACUUAUUGUGGACAGCGCUCACGAAAAUAGAAAUACCUGCAUGCCUUUCCCAAUACAUACGUGCAAGAACAGCAAUUUUCAAUUCCUCCUCCCCCCGUUCCAGUGUAGAUUAGGCCUAUAACGGUCGGCAAUCGGCUAUUUGCCGACAAAAACACCGAAUGGCCGAUCAAUUUCAUUCUACGCGGACAUUUUGACCCAUCAAAUAAAAUACACAAUAUUAAUUUAAAUUGAUGGUAGCUUAUGUAAAAAGUACUGUUUGAAAAGCAUACUAUACAUAGUGUACCACGCAAUCAAUAAAUAUUCGGAUGAUAAAAAGCAUUCAGAGGAAACAUUGUCAUUGAGCUUCUCUUUUAGCAAAUACUGUACUCUCUCAAGUGACCGAAUCUCGAUAGUAAGUCUAUAGCGUUUACAAUACAAUACUUACUACUUACAAAAAGAUGUUUUAGACAUUUCUAUAAGCCGUACGCGUAGCUAUAUUAUUUGGUACUAUAUACUUUUAUUUCCUUAAGAAACGCAAAGAAAGUGAAUGAGCUGUAUGAAGUGUAUACGUUUUCAAACGUUUGCCAGUUGGCGUAUACGCCAAGAAUUUUUCUGCAUACGUGCAAUUGUACGUCCGUACGUUUUUUAUCCCAGUCACGUAAAAAUGGUUGAAAUAGUUGGCCAACUACUCUUUGCCAAUGUCCGAGCAACAGUCUUGUUGAUCGGACAAUAUUUGUCAGACCUAAACAGAAACGUUAUAAUCCUGACCAUGCACACUGCCCGUUCAAUGUCGAAAGCUUAUGAAUUGGUUAGGUAAAAGCUUUGUGAAAUACAUGUCAAAACCAACAUUGUAUAAGGAGGAGCGGGGGAGACAAAGACACCAGCAUAUGUACAGUAAUACUGUACUUUAGUUUAGUUUUAGUUUACUCCUAAAUGUGCGUGGAAUUUUUGCCAUUAUUGUAGCCAGGAGCUGUUGCAAAAAUGCAACUACAUGCAGUAUAUGGGCCUUCUGGCAGGAAUCAAAUUCUCAAUAUAUUUACCCGUAUACUUUCUACUGGUAUCCCAGAAUCAUAUAUUCAUGAAUCAGCAGUGGUGAAUGUUCAACAACUCUGUUGCUCAGUUGGUUGGAGCGAUGUACCAGAAUCGCAGCGCCUAUUGUUGCAUUUUUCGCAACUGAUCCUGAUUAGGUCUAAAAAUGUAUAUAAAUUUGCGUUCGAGUAUUCCAUCUACAAGAAACCCAUCUCUUAUUUGGUAUAUACAGUAAUGGUAGUUUCGAUUUUUUAACUUAAUUCACACGAGGACAAAUUCCGGGAUACACAAUAUUAUACACUGUCAGAUACAUACAUGCAGUAAAUAUACAUGCACCGUAUUUUGUUGGUCCUAGAGUAAAGGAUUCUUUUAGGUAGAUUUAGAUUAUACUUUUUUCGCUUUCAAAUAUAUGUGUAAAUCAUCGCUAAUGUUAUCGACAAUUUUUUUAUAAUUACGUUAUUUUUACAUAAUUGUAUUUCAGACAUUCUUUGAACUCGCAGAAAAUCAAAAGGAGUGGCUAAGG
rnacentral:lncRNA from 1 species